UACGAAGGGGGCUAGCGUUGUUCGGAAUUACUGGGCGUAAAGCGUGCGCAGGCGGCCAAGUGUGUGAGGCGUGAAAGCCCGGGGCUUAACUCCGGAAUUGCACCUCAAACUACAUGGCUAGAGCAUUGGAGAGGGUAGCAGAAUUCACGGUGUAGCAGUGAAAUGCGUAGAUAUUGGGAAGAACACCAGUGGCGAAGGCGGCUAUCUGGACCGUAACUGACGCUGAGGCGCGAAAGCGUGGGGAGCAAACAGG
rnacentral:rRNA from 1 species